CUAAGGUCCCAAAGUCAUGGUUAAGUGGGAAACGAUGUGGGAAGGCCCAGACAGCCAGGAUGUUGGCUUAGAAGCAGCCAUCAUUUAAAGAAAGCGUAAUAGCUCACUGGUCGAGUCGGCCUGCGCGGAAGAUGUAACGGGGCUAAACCAUGCACCGAAGCUGCGGCAGCGACACCGUGUGUUGUUGGGUAGGGGAGCGUUCUGUAAGCCUGUGAAGGUGUGCUGUGAGGCAUGCUGGAGGUAUCAGAAGUGCGAAUGCUGACAUAAGUAACGAUAAAGCGGGUGAAAAGCCCGCUCGCCGGAAGACCAAGGGUUCCUGUCCAACGUUAAUCGGGGCAGGGUGAGUCGACCCCUAAGGCGAGGCCGAAAGGCGUAGUCGAUGGGAAACGGGUUAAUAUUCCCGUACUUGGUGUUACUGCGAAGGGGGGACGGAGAAGGCUAUGUUGGCCGGGCGACGGUUGUCCCGGUUUAAGCGUGUAGGUAUGUGUUCCAGGUAAAUCCGGUUCACUUUAACACUGAGGCGUGACGACGAGGCACUACGGUGCUGAAGCAACAAAUGCCCUGCUUCCAGGAAAAGCCUCUAAGCAUCAGGUAACAUCAAAUCGUACCCCAAACCGACACAGGUGGUCAGGUAGAGAAUACCAAGGCGCUUGAGAGAACUCGGGUGAAGGAACUAGGCAAAAUGGUGCCGUAACUUCGGGAGAAGGCACGCUGACACGUAGGUGAAGUGAUUUACUCACGGAGCUGAAGUCAGCCGAAGAUACCAGCUGGCUGCAACUGUUUAUUAAAAACACAGCACUGUGCAAACACGAAAGUGGACGUAUACGGUGUGACGCCUGCCCGGUGCCGGAAGGUUAAUUGAUGGGGUCAGCGCAAGCGAAGCUCCUGAUCGAAGCCCCGGUAAACGGCGGCCGUAACUAUAACGGUCCUAAGGUAGCGAAAUUCCUUGUCGGGUAAGUUCCGACCUGCACGAAUGGCGUAAUGAUGGCCAGGCUGUCUCCACCCGAGACUCAGUGAAAUUGAACUCGCUGUGAAGAUGCAGUGUACCCGCGGCAAGACGGAAAGACCCCGUGAACCUUUACUAUAGCUUGACACUGAACAUUGAGCCUUGAUGUGUAGGAUAGGUGGGAGGCUUUGAAGUGUGGACGCCAGUCUGCAUGGAGCCGACCUUGAAAUACCACCCUUUAAUGUUUGAUGUUCUAACGUGGACCCGUGAUCCGGGUUGCGGACAGUGUCUGGUGGGUAGUUUGACUGGGGCGGUCUCCUCCUAAAGAGUAACGGAGGAGCACGAAGGUUGGCUAAUCCUGGUCGGACAUCAGGAGGUUAGUGCAAUGGCAUAAGCCAGCUUGACUGCGAGCGUGACGGCGCGAGCAGGUGCGAAAGCAGGUCAUAGUGAUCCGGUGGUUCUGAAUGGAAGGGCCAUCGCUCAACGGAUAAAAGGUACUCCGGGGAUAACAGGCUGAUACCGCCCAAGAGUUCAUAUCGACGGCGGUGUUUGGCACCUCGAUGUCGGCUCAUCACAUCCUGGGGCUGAAGUAGGUCCCAAGGGUAUGGCUGUUCGCCAUUUAAAGUGGUACGCGAGCUGGGUUUAGAACGUCGUGAGACAGUUCGGUCCCUAUCUGCCGUGGGCGCUGGAGAACUGAGGGGGGCUGCUCCUAGUACGAGAGGACCGGAGUGGACGCAUCACUGGUGUUCGGGUUGUCAUGCCAAUGGCACUGCCCGGUAGCUAAAUGCGGAAGAGAUAAGUGCUGAAAGCAUCUAAGCACGAAACUUGCCCCGAGAUGAGUUCUCCCUGAGACUUUAGGUCUCCUGAAGGAACGUUGAAGACGACGACGUUGAUAGGCCGGGUGUGUAAGCGCAGCGAUGCGUUGAGCUAACCGGUACUAAUGAACCGUGAGGCUUAACCUUACAACGCCGAAG
rnacentral:rRNA from 1 species